rnacentral:rRNA from 1 species
AGCAGCCGCGGUAAUUCCAGCUCCAAUAGCGUAUAUUAAAGUUGUUGCAGUUAAAAAGCUCGUAGUUGAAUUUCGGGGUCAGUAGGUCGGUCGUGCCACUGGUAUGAACUGGUUUUACUGAUUCCUCCCUCUUGAAGAACUGUAAUGCCAUUAAUUUGGUGUUGCAGGGAAUCAGGACUGUUACUUUGAAAAAUUAGAGUGUUUAAAGCAGGCUUUAGCUUGAAUACAUUAGCAUGGAAUAAUGAAAUAGGACGUUUGAUCCUAUUUUGUUGGUUUCUAGGAUUGACGUAAUGAUUAAUAGGGAUAGUUGGGGCAUUAGUAUUCAAUUGUCAGAGGUGAAAUUCUUGGAUUUAUUGAAGACUAACUACUGCGAAAGCAUUUGCCAAGGAUGUUUUCAUUAAUCAAGACGAAAGUUAGGGGAUCGAAGACGAUCAGAUACCGUCGUAGUCUUAACCAUAAACUAUAGCCGACUAGGAAUCGGAUGAUGUUAAUUUU